rnacentral:rRNA from 1 species
GAUCAUGGCUCAGGACGAACGCUGGCGGCGCGCCUAACACAUGCAAGUCGAACGGAGCUUGAAGAGCUUGCUUUUUAAGCUUAGUGGCGAACGGGUGAGUAACGCGUGAGUAACCUGCCCUGGAGUGGGGGACAACAGUUGGAAACGACUGCUAAUACCGCAUAAGCCCACGGAUCUGCAUGGAUCUGCGGGAAAAGGAUUUAUUCGCUUCAGGAUGGACUCGCGUCCAAUUAG